GAUAUUUUCAAAAUGUUCUAGAUAUCAAUGCAGUUACCGUUCGGCCAGUGCUGGCAAUUAUGCGGAGUAAUGCAACGCAUUGUAAGCUCGACAAGCUGUCCAAUCCGCUAAACGAAGGAUAACAAGGAUUUUCUCAGAUUGCAAAUUCACGGACGACAUGACGAGCGGACGCCUGAAGGGAAACAAAAAUCUUUCUUUGGCUUUAUCGUGACUACGUGAGAAGUGCUGCGCAUCUCUCCCGUCAGUCGAUUUUUCAGGAAGCAGACUGGAAAUUUGGCACCUAAACGUUUUAUCCUCGGCCGUAGCUAAGAGAAUGGCGAUAAAAAUUCAACGACAGCAGUUCAAGUUGCUGUCAGCUUUCGCAACCAACCAAAUUUGGUACGAGCUAUGUUAAUAGAAAAAAAAUGAAAAUAAACAAAACACUGACAGGACUUCAGAGUCUGAAUCCAUAAUCUGCAGGUACGUAGUCUCUAACUUGUCGUCUAUGAUUUCCACAUUGUUUAGAAGAGAUAGGCUACGUCAUAAUUUUCGGUUUCGAAGUUCAAGUGUCACGGGUACAGAUCCACAUGGAGUUAUUUUACAAACUCAGAUAAACUAAACAAACACUGUCCAUUGCUGUUUUGCCAAGUUAAAGUUUGUUAUUUUCCUUAAUUCCCACUUUGAACUACCCCACUACCAAAGGUUGAACGUGAGAAACAAUGGCGAAGGAUCGAAGGGCAAGACAUGGAAAAGAUCUGUGUGGGCUUUGUCUUUGCUAAAAAAAAGUUUGUAAAAAAAAAAAAAAAAAAAAACAAAAAAAAAUCAAUUAUUCAAGAUGUUUUUCAAUGAAACAUCAUGGCAAGGUUGACCUGCCUUGUAUUUGUGAACAUUCAAACCGGUUUGCAAGCAAAUCAUUUCAUCCCAAGUUUAAUUGCUACGUAUCUUUAGCUUUCCAGUGCUGAUUAAUUUGGCCCACAACCCCAUCUUUUUUCGAUCACCCAUCCCAGAAUUUUGUUUGCUAGGAAGAAGUCUGGGCUGCCUGAUCUC